rnacentral:rRNA from 1 species
CACCUACGGGUGGCAGCAGUGGGGAAUUUUGGACAAUGGGGGCAACCCUGAUCCAGCCAUGCCGCGUGAGUGAAGAAGGCCUUCGGGUUGUAAAGCUCUUUCGGCCGGGAAGAAAUCGCAUAGGUUAAUACCCUGUGUGGAUGACGGUACCGGAAUAAGAAGCACCGGCUAACUACGUGCCAGCAGCCGCGGUAAUACGUAGGGUGCGAGCGUUAAUCGGAAUUAUUGGGCGUAAAGCGUGCGCAGGCGGUUUAGUAAGACAGGCGUGAAAUCCCCGGGCUCAACCUGGGAACUGCGCUUGUGACUGCUAAGCUAGAGUACGGCAGAGGGGGGUGGAAUUCCACGUGUAGCAGUGAAAUGCGUAGAGAUGUGGAGGAACACCAAUGGCGAAGGCAGCCCCCUGGGCCGAUACUGACGCUCAUGCACGAAAGCGUGGGUAGCAAACAGGAUUAGAUACCCUGGUAGUCCACGCCCUAAACGAUGUCAACUAGGUGUUGGGUGGGUAAAACCAUUUAGU